rnacentral:rRNA from 1 species
AGUUGGGCAGGAGCAAGCGGUUGGAUUGGCCUGACUCUUCCAGACCAAAGAUACUCGGCUUCCUCUUCAUCAAGUCAUGAAAUUCGACCCUUAGUUAGCAGCACCAAAAAUAGAGCAGGCCUAGGACAAGCAAGAAUAGCCAGUCAGCACUGA